rnacentral:rRNA from 1 species
GACGAACGCUGGCGGCGUGCUUAACACAUGCAAGUCGAACGAUGAAGAAAAGAAUCGAAGCUUUGGCAGAAAUUCAUUUCGGAUUAGUGGCAGACGGGUGAGUAACGCGUGAGCAACCUACCUCUUACAAAGGGAUAGCCUCGGGAAACCGGGAUUAAUACCAUAUAACAUUGUGACGAAGCAUUUCGAUGCAAUCAAAGCUACGGCGGUAAGAGAUGGGCGCGCGUCCCAUUAACCGGAUGGUGAGGUAACGGCGCACCAUAGUGACGAUGGGUAACCGGCCUGGGAGGGUGAACGGUCACACUGGAACUGAGACACAGUCCAGAAUGCUACGGGAGGGAGCAGAGGGGAAUAUUGCACAAUGGAGGGAGCUCUGAUGCAGCGACGCCGGGUGAGUGAUGAAGGAAUUCGUAACGUAAAACUCUGUUCUAUGGGAAGAAAAGGACUGUACCAGAGGAGAAAGCACCGGCUAAAUACGUG